rnacentral:rRNA from 1 species
UACGUAGGGCGCAAGCGUUGUCCGGAAUUAUUGGGCGUAAAGAGCUCGUAGGCGGUCUGUCACGUCUGCCGUGAAAACCCGAGGCUUAACCUCGUGGCUUGCGGUGGAUACGGGCAGACUAGAGGUAGGUAGGGGAGAACGGAAUUCCCGGUGUAGCGGUGAAAUGCGCAGAUAUCGGGAGGAACACCGGUGGCGAAGGCGGUUCUCUGGGCCUUACCUGACGCUGAGGAGCGAAAGCGUGGGGAGCAAACAGG